rnacentral:snRNA from 1 species
GGAUAUUUUCAUUCUGAUUCCGAUGAAAAAAUGGGACCAAUACAGAGAAGAUUAACACGAUCCCUAUGCAAAGAUGACACGCAAUUUCUUGAAGCGUUCCAAAUUAGU